GAUGAAGAACGUAGCGAAAUGCGAUAAGUAGUGUGAAUUGCAGAAUUCAGUGAAUCAUCGAAUCUUUGAACGCACAUUGCGCCCUUUGGUAUUCCUUAGGGCAUGCCUGUUCGAGCGUCAUUUACAACUUCAAGCUCAGCUUGGUGAUGGGUGUCUGUCCCGCCUUUUGCGCGCGGACUCGCCUCAAAUGCAGUUGGCAGCUUGUUCCUCGGCUCUAAACGCAGCAGAAUGCGUCGAGUGUCGGGCGGACGGGCUCUCCAGUAAGCAAACCCCCACAAAUUGACCUCGGAUCAGGUAGGGAUACCCGCUGAACUUAAGCAUAUCAAUAAGCGGAAGGA
rnacentral:misc_RNA from 1 species